AGGCCAUAUCACGCUGAAACAUCGGUUCCCGUACGAUGACCGAAGUUAAGCAACGUCGAGCCUGGUCAGUACCUUGAUGAUCGGUUAGGAAUACCAGGUGCUGUAAG